rnacentral:rRNA from 1 species
UACGUAGGGGGCAAGCGUUAUCCGGAUUUACUGGGUGUAAAGGGAGCGUAGACGGCAGGGCAAGUCUGAAGUGAAAGGCGGGGGCUCAACCCCCGGACUGCUUUGGAAACUGUCCGGCUGGAGUGCAGGAGAGGUAAGUGGAAUUCCUAGUGUAGCGGUGAAAUGCGUAGAUAUUAGGAGGAACACCAGUGGCGAAGGCGGCUUACUGGACUGUAACUGACGUUGAGGCUCGAAAGCGUGGGGAGCAAACAGGAUUAGAUACCCUGGUAGUCCACGCCGUAAACGAUGAUCACUAGGUGUCGGGGGUUCAUAAACCUUCGGUGCCGCAGCCAACGCAAUAAGUGAUCCACCUGGGGAGUACGUUCGCAAGAAUGAA